UUAUAGUCAAAGUUUACAUGAAACUUUUUUUUUAAUACUAUGCUGUCUACUCUCUUAAAUCAUUACUCUAUUGGAAAGUAAUAAUUUUAUAGUGACAUUUUCAAAUCUCAAACAUAACAAAGAGAAAUAAUAAGCAAAUCAAACUAUACUUAUUAUUAUUAUUAUUAUUAUUAUUAUUAUUAUUAGCUUGAUCAUGAUGAUUGUCAUUUCUACUACCUAUUUUAAUAAUUUUUUUCAAUGUUAUUAUUAGUGUUUUGGUUACUAGCAAGGAUCGUUACAAAGUUAACGUGGUCAUUUUAAAUUAGAAGAGGUACGUGUGCAUAUUAAUUUUUUUCUGUUAAUUAAUAUUAUACAAAUGUUAGAGGAGUUUGAAUAUCCUAAAUAUUCAUCCAUAGCGAAGUAGGUUUUGAUAUUAAUUGUGUGUUGCGGUGAUAACGGAAGGUUUCUAACUUGUGUGCCUUAGUGAAGUAGGUUCUGCGAAAAUUUGAUUGUGUUGCGGUGGUAUAAGGAUGAAAACUUAUUGCGUGUUGGUUGAAUUGUUUGAAUUAUUUGUUUGCUAUAACAGGUGGUUAGGUUAAUAUUAUAGGGGAAAUGCUGUCCAAUUUUUUUUAGAAUUUUAUUUGUUAGUAUUGAUAAAUGUUUGCUUGUUUGAUUUGAUCGUAUUUUCAAUGAAAUUUUAUGUGCUUCAUUUUUAUUUUUAUUUUUUAUAAUUUCAUAAUGAUGAUGUAGGAAGAAAAAUAUGGAUAAAAAAUAGAUGUCAACAAAUAGGUUAUCUAAGGAGUAUAGAAAUGGUGUUGAAUUCUUCAUAAGAUUUUGUAUGGAAAAUAUGGUAGACCCAAAUGAUACUUUUUGUCCAUGGGAAAGGUAUCAUCACGUGCUACAUGAGGUAUAUUACUUGAUAUAUAUAAUAAAUUUAUUAUUUUUAACUUUAUUCUUGUUAUCUAUUCAAAAAUUAAUCUAAGGUAGCUUUGUAUAAAUUUUCUAUUAGGAUACUAUAUCAAUGGCUCGUACAACAUAAUCGCCAACAAUUGUUUCAAGCUUCGAAUCGGAAACACUUUUUGGCCAAGUUAAGUGAUGCAAAGUAUACAGAAGAAGAAAUUGAUGAAGUGAAAGAGCAUUGAGCAAGUGAGAUGUUAUCGGUUAUUCAAACUUACCGACGUUAGUUGUUUUUUGUUUUAAUAAAGCAAGUGAGAGGUUAUCGGUUAUUCAAACUUACCGAUGUUAGUUGUUUUUUGUUUUAAUAGACCAAUAGUUAUUAUAUAAUUUUAUAAUUAUGGAUUUAUUAGUAUAAGUAACUAAUAUGUAAUAUUUAUUAAUUUUGUUGAUGUGAAUUAUUAUAAUAGUCUAAUUUAUAAAUUUUACAUUUAGUCAAAUAAAAUUAUUAUUGUUAUA